AACUCCUGGCCAAGGUGCGCUAUGAGAAGGUCGAGGUUGCGGCGCCGUUCCGGCGUGCGAUCGUGAGCUAUCACCGCAAGGAAUCGCCGGGCUCCAUCGUCGUCGAUUCCGACAAUCANNNNNNNCUCGAGGGCGGCAAGGCGAUCCGUUACGGCAUCACCGUCGGCGAAGAGGCGCUUGCGUUCUCCGGCAUCGCCCGCGUCGGCAACAUGCAGGAAUGGCCGAAGU
rnacentral:misc_RNA from 1 species